AGAAAGCCCAAUUCCAUCUGGCCCCUGCAGGUUGGCUCAGCACUGGGGAAUCAGAGUCCCCUCCAUGACCAAGGCACCACUCCACUGACAGGGUCACAUCUCCCAGGAAGAUCUCACUUCCCCACAGAAGCUCUUGGCCUGGCCUCCUGCAGUGCCACGCUCCGUGUAUUUGACAAGCUGAGUUGGACACUCCAUGUGGUAGAGUGUCAGUUUGUCAAAUACCCCAAGUGCGGCACAUGCUUACCAGCUCCAGGCCAGGGCAGAUGGGAUAUGAUGAAUGGACUGCCAGCUGGAUACAAGGAUGCUCACCAAGCACCAAGUUCUCACAAGUUAUUUUAUGUGACUCUGCAGGAACUGAGGCAUUAUAUCUGAGGACACCAGGGGAAAAGUGUGGCAUCUCUGGGAAAUACAGCCCUGGGCUGUGUCUACACACACCAUGAGAGUGCUGAUGGGGGCGCAAUAGUCUUGAAAAUGUAUAAAGCGUCCAGGAAUGGAAGUGCUCUUUGAUUCAUUAUUAUUUUCUUCCUUCAUAUUCCCCUCCCAGAGUCUCCUAUCUAGGACAUCAGCAUUCUCACACAAGCCUAAUGGCUUAUCUGAGUAAGCAGGGCUUAGAAAUUCACUUUCUUGAUACUCAGUCUUGCCUUCUAAACACUCCUUGAUCUUGCCUACCUCUCCCCUUUUCCACAUGUCUUUUCCUGUAGGAACACUUUCUCCAUUUAUUCCUGCCUAUCCAAUUCUUCCCUAUAUUUCCUGGACCAGCUAAAGUCCAGUGUUUCCAGAGACUUUUGAAAGUCAACUUACACUUUUUCCUUCUUCAUUCACAAAGCUCUUCUUCCCUGGGCCCUGGUAUGUAUGCCUUUCUCUCCUACUGUCUAAUAGCACCUUGUAAAUUGUCAAUGAACUUUUCUAAGGGGUAUUCUUGAAUUCCCAACUAGAUUGUGAGCUUCUGGAAGACAAGGCUAUGUCUUUGAUUGUUGUCUCCCCUACCACAGCCCAGUACUUUAGUUACAGAAAAUAAUAAAUAUUUACUGAUUGAUUGACUUUCCUCUUGUCCACUAGCUUUAGGUUUGGGGGCCAAAUUCUACCCUGGAUUUUGAAAAAUUCAAACUGUGAACACCACAAUGUUAUAGAGCAUAUGAGGUAGUAGCCAGCAUGAAGGAUGUUUUCUUCCUGAGAAACAGUGUCAAGGGCUGGAGGAAGAGGGCAAAAUAGCAGACUCAGAGGGCAAAUAAAUUUUGGUAUUACUUGAUCACACAAGGUUAUACAGGUGUUUUCUUGUAGGAUUUUUCAGAGCCUUUAAUAGUCUAAUGUUGCAUUGAGAAUCUCAAAGAGGAAACCAUAGAAUGAGGCAUUUGCCAUACCUAUCUGAUCAUGAAUUUUCUUUUCCCCCACAGCCUUCUCCUGUGUCAAUGUCCAAUGAAGCACGAUUUGGGAAACUGUCCUAGAGAAACUUUAUACCUUCCCGCUCUUCUGGAGAUCUUUUCCUCUUUUCACUCAUCUACUUUCCCCAACCAGCCAUCUGCCUAAGAAAGGUCACAUGUUAUCAUCUCAUUUUUGUUUAGCCUCUGCAGCUGUGGACUAUCUUUAUUACAUAGGAAUUCUUUACUAGCUUGUCCUGUAUUUAAAAAUAUUCUAAGUUUUGAGGCAAAGAAGAUCCAGAUGCUGCAAUAAAUAUAUGCACUGAGGAGUU
rnacentral:antisense_RNA from 1 species